CCUGGUGGCUCAGAGGGUAAAGCGUCUGCCUGCUAUGCAGAAGACCCAGGUUCGAUUUGUGGGCCAGGA
rnacentral:tRNA from 1 species